rnacentral:rRNA from 1 species
UACGGAGGGUGCGAGCGUUGUCCGGAAUCACUGGGCGUAAAGGGCGCGUAGGCGGCCUGAUAAGUAGGGGGUGAAAUCCUGCGGCUUAACCGCAGUGCUGCCUUCUAAACUGUCAGGCUAGAGCACAGUAGAGGCAGGUGGAAUUCCCGGUGUAGCGGUGGAAUGCGUAGAGAUCCGGAAGAACACCGGUGGCGAAGGCGGUUAGCUGGGCAGUUGCUGACACUGAGGCGCGACAGCGUGGGGAGCAAACAGG